CAGGGUUCAGCUGCCACCGACGCCAGGUCCUGGGACCAUAAGCUCGCGUGUCUCCACAGUUGCACAUUCCCGUCCGUCUGCAGCUCAUUAUCUGGGCCACAAGGACGUUACCCCAUGACUUGGAAGGACGCGCCAUCACGCAGGAGGUCACAAAGUGGACGGCAGGAAAGCCAGCCUUCCCUCUUCUGCCUUCCUCCUCACCUCUCUCUCUCUCUCUCAGUACUUUGUUCUUGUUAAUAUCAGUGUAUCAAUGAGCCUGGUUUUUUGCCUUUUAUUAUUAUUAUUAACAUAGUGAGCACAGGCGUUUCGUACUCUGCGUCUGAUUUUCCAGCAGCGAAGCCUCUGCCAUCCGCCCCACCGUCCCGCUGGCUCUUGCUCAUUGUCUUUCCCUUCCCUGCUUGCCUGCUCCCUCACGCCCCUGCUCUGCGUGUUGGAUGUGAAAAGGAUGUCAGGGACUAGGCGGAGGGCAUGUUCCUCCGAGCCCAGGCUGCACCUUGGCACAGUGGAGGGUCCACCCACCCCAGGUAGCCCAGGUGAGGCCCCUGGGUCCCCCUGUCACUCAGGCUGUCCACAUGAAAGUCCAGAUGUCUCCGACCAACAGAUCCCUGGGAGAAAGGACGUGACGCUGCCGCUUCACCGGGAUGGGUUCCCACGUCCCUCCGCGUUGACCCACAGCUUCCUUACGGUCUUGUAUGUAGUUUGAUGCUUUUAAGGGCCGGCCACGGUGGCUCAACGCCUGUAAUCCCAGCACUUUGGGAGGCCAAGGUGGGCGGAUCAUGAGGUCAGGAAUUCGAGACCAG
rnacentral:lncRNA from 1 species